GGGGCUGUAGCUCAGUGGUAGAGCGCUUGCCUGGCAUGCAUGAGGCCCUGAGUGUGACCCCC
rnacentral:tRNA from 1 species